UAUUGCUCUUGAACGAGGAAUCCCUAGUAAGCACAAGUCAUUAGCUUGUGCUGAUUACGUCCCUGCCCUUUGUACACACCGCCCGUCGCUACUACCGAUUGAAUGGCUUAGUGAGGCCUUCGGAUUGAGGUUUGGAGACUGGCAACAGACUCCGGAUUUUAAGAAGUUGGUCAAACUUGGUCAUUUAGAGGAAGUAAGUCGUAACAAGGUUUCCGUAGGUGAACCUGCGGAAGGAUCAUUACCAAUUAGCGAACCUGAUCUGAUCAUGGUCUCGCGAACUGUAUUUACACUCUUAUUAUAUGAAUCUUGUCAACGGAUCUCUUGGCUCUCGCAUCGAUGAAGAACGUAGCGAAGUGCGAUAAGUAAUGUGAAUUGCAGAAUCUAGAAGGACCGUAGCCAACGUCGAUAAGUAAUGGACUGCAGAUCCUGAUCAUGAUCUGACGCAAAUGCACUCUCAGCAUCGAGAGUAGGCCUGUGAGGUCAGUAUAUCAAAAUCGAGCGAUGCUUUUGGUGACGCACCGAAGUUGGUCAUCUACUCUUUUUUUAAGAGACCUAAAAUUACAUCUUUUUUGCUCACUUGAGACGUACAUAAUUUUUUUUUAUCGUCUACCUGGUGGCAAAAAUUUAUUAGAUCGUGAAUCACGUAUAGUGGUCUCGCGUCUAUAAUUAUCAUGAUUUGACCUCAAAUCAGGUAAGAAUACCCGCUGAACUUAAGCAUAUCAAUAAGCGGAGGAAAAGAAAAUAACAAUGAUUCCCCUAGUAACUGCGAGUGAAGAGGGACAAGCUCAAAUUUUAAAUCCGUCGGGUUUCACCUGACCGAGUUGUAAUUUGAAGAGGCGUUUUCCGCGUUUUUGAUCAGUCCAAGUCCUUUGGGAUAGGGCAUCAUGGAGGGUGAGAAUCCCGUUCGGCUGAUCAGAUUCGCUCUACGAUACGUCAUCUAAGAGUCAAGUUGUUUGGGAAUGCAGCUUAAAAUGGGAGGUAAAUUUCUCCUAAGGCUAAAUAACGGCGAGAGACCGAUAGCGAACAAGUACCGUGAGGGAAAGAUGAAAAGAACUUUGAAAAGAGAGUUAAACAGUACGUGAAAUUGUUGAAAGGGAAACGAUUGAAGCCAGUCGUACCGGUGGGUAAUCAGCCUUUCGGCGUGAUUAUGUGGAGCGUGAGGAGUUAAACGCCCUCAUGGCCUGCAUAUUCGUGUUCUUUGGGUGUACUUACCCGCAUGGUAGGUUAACAUCAAUUUCGAACGUCAUAAAAUGGUUGGAGGAAUGUAGCUUCGAUCUCGUAUUGAAGUGUUAUAGACUCCGGCAGAUGUGAUGAUCGGGAUUGAGGAUUGCAACGGAUACCCUUCGGGGCUACCCGUCUGAUCUCUGAAAGUUGCUCUGGUGCCGAAAGCUCGCUUACGGUCAUCAAAGUUGACGUUCAACAGGUUAGAACGGGAUAAAUUCGUUAAGGAUGUUGACGUAAUGGCUUUAAACGACCCGUCUUGAAACACGGACCAAGGAGUCUAACAUAUAUGCGAGUGUUU
rnacentral:rRNA from 1 species